AUCCAGCAGACGAUUCCUAAAUAGGACGAAACGCGCGUCCAGACUGGAU
rfam:Schistosoma mattheei strain Denwood, Zambia genome assembly, scaffold: SMTD_scaffold0022502